UCCAGGGCCUCCAAUAUUACCCUUACCUGUGUGUUUCUAACUUUUGGCUCUGCUUUCUUUGGCACGGGCUUCAUUCGCAGACAGGAUCUUCCCAGAGAAAGCCUCAAAGAUGGCCACAGUGGUUCCAGCCUUACAUUCUACUGCUUGGGCUUCACAUAAAAUUAGGGUGCCUGCAUCCCUGCCAGGGGCUCUGCAUGUGGAUGGUGUGAACAUCCCUGGAAGGCUUGAGUGUUGCUCAGCCCUCGUCCCAGCGGCUGACCCACAUGUAGCUUCACACUGGUGAGCUGAUUUAUCUAUUGAGGGGCGCCUGGAUGGCUCAUUGGGUUAAAGCCUCUGCCUUCUGCUCAGGUCAUGAUCCCACGGUCCUGGGAUUGAGCCCCACGUUGGGCUCUCUGCUCCAUGGGGAGCCUGCUUCCUCCUCUUCCUCUGCCUGCCUCUCUGCCUACUUGUG